UCAAAAAACAUAGCCUUUAGCCCAUACAAGUAUUAAAGGUCCGGCCUGCCCAGUGAAACCCAAUUUUUAACGGCCGCGGUAUUCUAACCGUGCAAAGGUAGCGUAAUCACUUGUCUUCUAAAUAGAGACCAGUAUGAACGGCUAAAUGAGGACAAGCCUGUCUCUUAUGAUUAAUCAGUGAAACUGAUCUUCCAGUACAAACGCUGGUAUAAACACAUAAGACGAGAAGACCCCGUGGAGCUUAAAACAAACCACUAACACAAUUUAACCCUAGUGCACUGUUUUAAGUUGGGGCGACUUCGGAAUAAAACAAAGCUUCCGAGCACAGAACCACCACUUCCAACCAAGGCCCACAAGCCUAAGUAUAGUAUGACCCGGCUCCACUGCCGAUCAACGAACCAAGUUACCCCGGGGAUAACAGCGCUAUCUUCUUCAAGAGUCCCUAUCAACAAGAAGGUUUACGACCUCGAUGUUGGAUCACGACACCCAAAUGGUGCAGCCGCUAUUAAAGGUUCGUUUGUUCAACGAUUAACAGUCCUACGUGAUCUGAGUUCAGACCGG
rnacentral:rRNA from 1 species